rnacentral:rRNA from 1 species
ACGAACGCUGGCGGCGUGCUUAACACAUGCCAGUCGAACGGAAAGGCCCUGCUUGCAGGGUACUCGAGUGGCGAACGGGUGAGUAACACGUGGGUGAUCUGCCCUGCACUUCGGGAUAAGCCUGGGAAACUGGGUCUAAUACCGGAUAGGAGCCAUUUUUAGUGUGAUGGUUGGAAAGUUUUUUCGGUGUAGGAUGAGCUCGCGGCCUAUCAGCUUGUUGGUGGGGUAAUGGCCUACCAAGGCGGCGACGGGUAGCCGGCCUGAGAGGGUGGACGGCCACAUUGGGACUGAGAUACGGCCCAGACUCCUACGGGAGGCAGCAGUGGGGAAUAUUGCACAAUGGGCGCAAGCCUGAUGCAGCGACGCCGCGUGGGGGAGGACGGCCUUCGGGUUGUAAACUCCUUUCGCUAGGGACGAAGCUUUUUGUGACGGUACCUAGAUAAGAAGCACCGGCUAACUACGUG